rnacentral:rRNA from 1 species
AGCGCAGGCGGACCGGCAAGUUGGAAGUGAAAACCAUGGGCUCAACCCAUGAAUUGCUUUCAAAACUGUUUUUCUUGAGUAGUGCAGAGGUAGAUGGAAUUCCCGGUGUAGCGGUGGAAUGCGUAGAUAUCGGGAGGAACACCAGUGGCGAAGGCGGUCUACUGGGCACCAACUGACGCUGAGGCUCGAAAGCAUGGGUAGCAAACA